ensembl:lncRNA
CUGGGAACCUCAACUAGUCUUAGUGAAACAUCAGAAACUGCAGUUGUUAUGUCUUCAGAAUCAACCAGUUCUUCUGCUGGAACAGAUGCAGGAACAACACUGGGAACCUCAACUAGUCUUAGUGAAACAUCAGAAACUGCAGUUGUUACGUCUUCAGCAUCACCCAGUUCUUCUGCUGGAACAGAUGCAGGAACAACACUGGGAACCUCAACAGGUCUUAGUGAAACAUCAGAAUCUCCCACUGUCACAUCUUCAACAUCACCAAGUUCGUCUACUGGAACAGAAGCAGAAACAACACUGGGAACCUCAACUAGUCUUAGUGAAACAUCAGAAUCUCCCACUGUCACAUCUU